AACCCUACGCUAAAGGGGGGAAAGGAGGUUAUGUACAACAAAACCAUCGUACCAGUGAAAUUAUCCGUCAUGGCCUUGGACUAGCUUUUUUCCCUAUAUUUCCAAACCUUUUCGCUACAUUAAACAAAAAUGUCUUGGGUAUGAUUCCUUGGUCAAGAGUACAAGCAACAACCAAAGCUCCACCAAUGAUGAGUAGCUUUGGUAUGUUUAUAUUGCCCUCGCAUUUUGCAGGUAAAACCUCUAUCUCAGUCCCUGAUGAUUCCUCAUUCCCAUCCAUUGACUUCAAGUAUUCUGGAUCAAUUUUUGUAUUUACUUGGGCCAUCAAAGCACAGUGAGAGAUCUUCGCGUUAGAUGCUCUUGAUCUCUGGUAGGAACGAAGUCCACGUUCAAUCUUUCGUACAGCCCCCCACAUACCUUGCCUCACCCCAAAUUUUGCGAUUUCCCAUGGGAUGCCCAUAUCUUCGUGAUGGAAGAGAAGAACCUCACAUGCAGUCAGCUGGCCAUUUCCUUCCCUUGAUUCAACAGCUUGAAUGAACCAACUUGAAUAGUACAGGUCAACACGUCUUGGUUUGUCCUUCCUAGAAAUAUUAGGACAUGGCACUCCCUUUGUUACACAAUAAUAUGACCUUCCUGCCUCCCAUAUUCGACGAGCAAAUAUAUAUUCUCUGUCGCUGCAGAAAAAGGGGAAUUUUCGAACCCAGUGCACUACCAUUGUUCCUGUUGUGGGGCACUCUUCUACCGUUUCAGCAUGUACAAGCAUGUCAUCCCACUUCACUCGAAACUCAUCAUCCCCAAAAAAGUCCCUCAAUAACUCAGGUGUUGCAUCCUCAUACGCAGUUCGGCUGCA
rnacentral:misc_RNA from 1 species